CCUGGUUGAUCCUGCCAGUAGUCAUAUGCUUGUCUCAAAGAUUAAGCUAUGCAUGUGUAAGUAUGAACUAUUUCAGACUGUGAAACUGCGAAUGGCUCAUUAAAUCAGUUAUAGUUUGUUUGAUGGUACGUGUUCUCGGAUAAACGAGUAAUUCUAGAGCUAAUACGUGCAACAAACCCCGACUUUCGGAAGGGAUGCAUUUAUUAGAUAAAAGGUCGACGCGGGCUUUGCCCGCCGUUCGAUGAUUCAUGAUAACUCGACGGAUCGCGACGACCCCUCGUGUCGGGCGACGCAUCAUUCAAAUUUCUGCCCUAUCAACUUUCGAUGGUAGGAUAGGGGCCUACCAUGGUGGUGAUGGGUGACGGAGAAUUAGGGUUUGAUUCCGAGAGGGAGCUCGAGAAACGGCUACCACAUCCAAGGAAGGCAGCAGGAAAGAAAUUACCCAAUCCUCGACACGGGAGGUAGUGACAAUAAAUAACAAUACCGGGCUCUUUUGAGUCCGGUAAUUGAAUGAGUACAAUCUAAAUCCCUUUAACGAGGAUCCAUUGAGGGCAAGUCGGUGCCAGCAACCGCGGUAAUUCCAGCCCAAUAGCGCGAUAUUUAAGUUGUUGCAGUUAAAAAGCACGAAGUUGGACUUUGGGACGGGUCGGUCGGUCCGGCCAUGGGUGUGCAACCGGCCGUCCCAUCCUUCGUCGGCGAUGCGUCGGCCUUAAUCUGGCCGGGUCGUGCCUCCUGCUAUUACUUUGAAGAAAUUAGAGUGCUCAAAGCAAGCCCAUGGCCUUAAAUGGUCGGGUCGUAGCCUCCGGCGCUGUUACUUUGAAGAAAUUAGAGUGUUUCAAAGCAAGCCCACGCCUGGAUACAUUAGCAUGGGAUAACAUCAUAGGAUUUCGGUCCUAUUGUGUUGGCCUUCUGGAUCGGAGUAAUGAUUAAGAGGGACAGUCGGGGCAUUCAGAUUUCAUAGUCAAAGGUGAAAUUUUGGAUUUAUGAAAGACGAACCACCGCGAAAAGCAUUUGCCAAGGAUGUUUUCAUUAAUCAAGAACGUAAAGUUGGGGGCUCAAGACGAUCGAUACCGCCCUAGUCUCAACCAUAAACGAUGCCCACCGUGGAUCGACGAUGAUGUUACUCUUAGGACUCCGCCGACACCUUAUGAGAAAUCAAAGUCUUUGGGUUCCGGGGAGUAUGGUCGCAAGGCUGAAAACUUUAAGGAAUUGACGGAAGGGCACCACCAGAGGGAGCUCCGGGCUUAAUUUGACUCAACACGGGAAACGUACCAAUUCCCAGACAUAGCAAGGAUUGACAGACCGAGAGCUCUUUCUUGAUUCUAUGGGUGGUGGUGCAUGGUCAUUCUUAGUUGGUGGAGCCGAUUUGUCCGGUUAAUUCGAUAACUAACGAGACCUCACCGCUAACUAGCUACGGAGAGGCAUCCCCCCGCCGCCUUCUUAGAGGGACAAUGGCCGUUUAAGCCACGGAAGUUUGAGGCGAUAACAGGUCUGUGAUGCCCUUAGAUGUUCUGGGUCGCGACGACACUACAAUCGAUGUAUUCAACGAAGUCUAUAGCCUUGGCCGACAGUGCCGGGUAAUCUUUUGAAAAUUUCAUCGUGAUGGGGAUAGAUCAUUGCAAUUGUUGGUCUUCAACCAGGAAUUCUAGUAAGCGAAGUCAUCAGCUCCUGUUGACUACGCCCCUGCCCUUUGUACACAUCGCCCGGUCACUCCCUACCGAUUGAAUGGUCCGUGAAGUGUUCGGAUCGAGAUGACGGGCGGUUCGCCGCCGCCGACGGCUUCGCGGAGAAGUCCACUGAACCUUAUCAUUUAGAGGAAGGAGAAGUCGUAACAAGGUUUCCGUAGGUGAACCUGCGGAAG
rnacentral:rRNA from 1 species